AUUUUAGCGCAGGAGUCUAAUAAGGCGGAAUCUGCGCAAUAUUCCGGAUAGACAAUAUUUAAAAUGCUCGCGACCGAUAAUGAUGCUCUUAGAGCAAUUUACCCAAAAUGGAGUUGAAUCGUAUUAGUGCACUGUAAACCCAGCAAUACUCUUUAAAGAGUAAAAAAUAAACAGUUUUUACCGAUAUAUGGAGCUGUCAAAAUAAUGGGUGAUAUUUUUUUGGGAAUAAUGCAUAUUUUGUAACCAUUUCCAUGUUCCUUGUGUUUACUCAUUAAUGAGUGAAAAACAAGUUGAAGUUUUAAACAAACAACUGAAGAAACUGUUGGUGGAAGCUCCGAUGGAUGAAUGCCUUCGUUUCGUACUGUUUGUUCUGGUCACAGAAAAAGUCGGAACGGAAUGGACGUAGCCAGACACAAGCGAUUCAGACGAGAUAUCGACAUGCGGAAAUUCUUCCCAACUGGAUCCGAUCCUUUACAGCUACGUGGUGCUGAUGCUCCCAAUGAAUAGCACGGCGCGGCACCGGCACGAUUUGAAAUCCGCGGAGGAAUGGAGGAAUUUCAUACGUGAUUAAAUUGACUAUCUCGGUAUGCUGAUCUCCGGAUACUCCAAGUGAUGCUGAGAGAAUCGGAAAACAGAGUGUUUGCCGUAGUAAAUUCGGUCUGUUCGGUGUUUAUUUAUUUACAAGAUGAUACGCGACACAGGGAGGCAAACCAGGCCAAUAAGAAUUUAGUCUACUGCUUUCAUAUAAUAUCUUAUUUAUGUGUUAAUAAAUUAUAAUAUGUAAGGUCAUUAUGAAUAAAUAAAACAAAUA